GGGGACAUGGCGCAACGGUAGCGUACCAGAUUCCAGCACGUGAUGGAUUCAUGGUGAUUCGGGCUUCCUGGUGGUUGUGUGUUCAAAUCACACUGUCCUCA
rnacentral:tRNA from 1 species